CCUGAGUACGACGGAGCACGUGAAAUUCCGUCGGAAUCUGGGAGGACCAUCUCCUAAGGCUAAAUACUCUCUAGUGACCGAUAGUGAACCAGUACCGUGAGGGAAAGGUGAAAAGUACCCCGGAAGGGGAGUGAAAGAGAACUUGAAACCGUGUGCUUACAAGUAGUCAGAGCCCGUUAAUGGGUGAUGGCGUGCCUUUUGUAGAAUGAACCGGCGAGUUACGAUCUGAUGCAAGGUUAAGCAGAAAAUGUGGAGCCGUAGCGAAAGCGAGUCUGAAUAGGGCGAAUGAGUAUUUGGUCGUAGACCCGAAACCAGGUGAUCUACCCUUGGUCAGGUUGAAGUUCAGGUAACACUGAAUGGAGGACCGAACCGACUUACGUUGAAAAGUGAGCGGAUGAACUGAGGGUAGCGGAGAAAUUCCAAUCGAACUUGGAGAUAGCUGGUUCUCUCCGAAAUAGCUUUAGGGCUAGCCUCAAGUGAUGAUUAUUGGAGGUAGAGCACUGUUUGGACGAGGGGCCCCUCUCGGGUUACCGAAUUCAGACAAACUCCGAAUGCCAAAUAAUUUAACUUGGGAGUCAGAAUGUGGGUGAUAAGGUCCAUAUUCGAAAGGGAAACAGCCCAGACCACCAGCUAAGGUCCCAAAAUAUAUGUUAAGUGGAAAAGGAUGUGGCGUUGCCCAGACAACUAGGAUGUUGGCUUAGAAGCAGCCAUCAUUUAAAGAGUGCGUAAUAGCUCACUAGUCGAGUGACACUGCGCCGAAAAUGUACCGGGGCUAAACAUAUUACCGAAGCUGUGGAUUGUCCUUUGGACAAUGGUAGGAGAGCGUUCUAAGGGCGUUGAAGCAUGAUCGCAAGGACAUGUGGAGCGCUUAGAAGUGAGAAUGCCGGUGUGAGUAGCGAAAGACGGGUGAGAAUCCCGUCCACCGAUUGACUAAGGUUUCCAGAGGAAGGCUCGUCCGCUCUGGGUUAGUCGGGU
rnacentral:rRNA from 1 species